UUUGGGGGUUGCUCUAUUAUGAUUGAUGUAUAGUUGGCAUAUUGAGAGGUGAAGCCAAGUAGACAUGGUUGUACAAAAAGGCAUAGGUCAUUCUAUUAACAACGUCACUACUGCUCUUGAUGAAGGACACCCACAAACAAUUCAAAAUAUAUCAUCAAAAGAAUUUUGAGAUUGAGCAUCUAGAAAGUGAGUUACAACCAUCCUUUUGCACUUGGAA